UACGUAGGGUGCAAGCGUUAAUCGGAAUUACUGGGCGUAAAGCGUGCGCAGGCGGCUUUGCAAGACAGAUGUGAAAUCCCCGGGCUUAACCUGGGAACUGCAUUUGUGACUGCAUGGCUGGAGUGCGGCAGAGGGGAUGGAAUUCCGCGUGUAGCAGUGAAAUGCGUAGAUAUGCGGAGGAACACCGAUGGCGAAGGCAAUCCCUGGGCCUGCACUGACGCUCAUGCACGAAGCGUGGGAGCAAACAGG
rnacentral:rRNA from 1 species